GCCUGACCAGCGGCACGAGGUGCCCCGACGCCGGCAACGGCCAGGGGAGAAUCUGGGAAGCCGGUGAAAGUCCGGCACAGGCCCGCUGCGGUAACCCACGGCUCCGAGCACGGAGACCUGGGAAGUCCGAAGACCGGCCCCGCGCCACGCAUCAUC
rnacentral:ncRNA from 2 species